rnacentral:rRNA from 1 species
UAAUACGGAGGGUGCAAGCGUUAAUCGGAAUUACUGGGCGUAAAGCGCACGCAGGCGGUUUGUUAAGUCAGAUGUGAAAUCCCCGGGCUCAACCUGGGAACUGCAUUUGAAACUGGCAAGCUAGAGUCUCGUAGAGGGGGGUAGAAUUCCAGGUGUAGCGGUGAAAUGCGUAGAGAUCUGGAGGAAUACCGGUGGCGAAGGCGGCCCCCCUGGACCGAAGACUGACGCUCAGGUGCGAAAGCGUGGGGAGCAAACAGGAUUAGAUACCCUGGUAGUCCACGCUGUAAACGAUGUCGAUUUGGAGGUUGUGCCCUUGAGGCGUGGCUUCCGGAGCUAACGCGUUAAAUCGACCGCCUGGGGAGUACGGCCGCAAGGUUA